ensembl:lncRNA
GAGCAAAACCGCUGAGCGCAGCGCUGAGCACGGGGGGGCGCGCCUGUCCCAUCCACUGCCACCAACACGGCCACCUGUCCCCUCCCCGACACUUGUCGGGUCCCAGCGGACCCUCCAAAACACGGCCCUUAGGGGGCGUUUGGACCAUCGCUUCCUGUUGCUUACGGCACUUGGGUACGAGAAAUGCAGCGGUUCGGGGUCUUUGUGACAAAGAGGGGGUCGGAAACGGGGCUUCCCCUAAGGGGACAGGGCUGUGACCGUGUUUUCCCGUGGUAUCGAUGAUGACAGAUGGGACCCCCAUGCCAAAGGGGCUCUUCCCCAUGACACAUAUGUAGGAUCCUUCCAGCCCAACGUGGGCAUUACGCUGUCAGUUUCCACCUGUGGGGCUUUCUUCAUUCCGCGCCCCUAUGAGCAGGGUGACUAAAGACCACCCCAUCACACUUCCCCCCCAAAAUCACACUUUACGUAGCGGGAGAUGCUGGGAAAACCCCAUUCUGGGGGUGAAAACUUCGCCCCCACACAGCCCACAGAACCCAGAUGUGUGGAAAACCCCCAUUGCCUCCCGGGGAUCUGGAGCAGCCGGUGCUGGGAGUGCAGUGAUUUAUCACAGGGGAGGACAAAUCAAUGCCCUACACCAAACCUGCAACCCAUACCCUGACCCAAAGUCAAUGGGAGCAGCAUUUUCUGAUGGACUUUUUGCUUCUUGUGGGCACGAGUAGUUUCUCUGGUACCCAAAGGGAUGCUGUGGGUGCAAGUGGUUUCCCUGGUACCCAUAGGGAUGGUGUGGGUACACGGAGCAUCUGGUACCCAAAGGGAUGCUGUGGGUACAGGUGGUAACAAAGGGAUGCUGUUGGUGAAGAUGGUACCCAAAGGGAUGCUGUGGAUACAGAGAGCAUCUGGUACCCAAAGGGAUGCUGCGGGUACAGGUAGAAUCCCCGGUACCCAAAGGGAUGCUGUAGGUGCAGGUGGUGCCCAAAGGGAUGCUGUGGGUGCAGGUGGCAUCCCUGGUAUCCAAAAGGAUGUUGUCGGUGCAGGUAGUAUCCCUGGUGCCCAAAGGGAUGCUGUGGGUGCAGGUAGUAUCCCUGGUACCCAAUGGGAUGCUGUAGGUGCAGGUAGUAUCCCUGGUACCCAAUGGGAUGCUGUAGGUGCAGGUGGUGCCCAAAGGGAUGCUGUGGGUGCAGGUGGCAUCCCUGGUAUCCAAAAGGAUGCUAUGGGUGCAGGUAGUAUUCCUGGUAUCCAAAGGGAUGCUGUGGGUGCAGGUGGCAUCCCUGGUACCCAAAAGGAUGUUGUGGGUGCAAGUAGUAUCCCUGGUGCCCAAAGGAAUGCUGUGGGUGCAGGUGGUGCCCAAAGGGAUGCUGUGGGUGCAGGUGGCAUCCCUGGUACCCAAAGGGAUGCUGUAGGUGCAGGUGGUGCCCAAAGGGAUGCUGUGGGUGCAGGUGGCAUCCCUGGUAUCCAAAAGGAUGCUGUGGGUGCAGGUGGCAUCCCUGGUACCCAAUGGGAUGUUGUGGGUAGAG